rnacentral:rRNA from 1 species
GUGGGGAAUAUUGGACAAUGGGCGCAAGCCUGAUCCAGCCAUGCCGCGUGAGUGAUGAAGGCCCUAGGGUUGUAAAGCUCUUUCACCGGAGAAGAUAAUGAUGGUAUCCGGAGAAGAAGCCCCGGCUAACUUCGUGCCAGCAGCCGCGGUAAUACGAAGGGGGCUAGCGUUGUUCGGAAUUACUGGGCGUAAAGCGCACGUAGGCGGACAUUUAAGUCAGGGGUGAAAUCCCGGGGCUCAACCCCGGAACUGCCUUUGAUACUGGGUGUCUGGAGUAUGGAAGAGGUAAGUGGAAUUCCGAGUGUAGAGGUGAAAUUCGUAGAUAUUCGGAGGAACACCAGUGGCGAAGGCGGCUUACUGGUCCAUUACUGACGCUGAGGUGCGAAAGCGUGGGGAGCAAACAGGAUUAGAAACCCCAGUAGUCC